rnacentral:lncRNA from 1 species
UUUCAUUCUAUAUUCUGUAAACUGCCAUGCUCUCUCGUCUUUCAUUGAUAAAAUUAUAAGAGAUCAGUCCGCGCAUACUUAGCAACUGACAGAUGACGCCCGUAGCAACAACUCUCGCCACGAAAAUAAUCAUAAAAACAUUUGUUUUUUACCAUACGUUUUACAGCUUGUGAUAAUUCAAUAUCGUUUGAAUUAAACUGAGUCAUCUCAUUUUUAAAUAUAUAAAAUCAGCCUUGAGCGAAUAAAAUAAAACCAUAUUAGUUCAAAAAGUAUACAGAUCAGUACGCGUUGCAAAGAAAAACGGCCGUAGCAACACAACUCGCAACAAAUAGGCCACGCACAUACAAC